rnacentral:rRNA from 1 species
AGCGAACGCUGGCGGCGUGCCUAACACAUGCAAGUCGAACGUGAAAGUCCUUCGGGAUGAGUAAAGUGGCGCACGGGUGCGAAACGCGUGGAUAAUCUACCUCAAAGCCUGGAAUAACCUGCCGAAAGGCGGGCUAAUACUGGAUAGAGCGAGGGGUACAUAAUGUGCCUUUCGGGAAAGGGAGCUGGCCACAGCCAUCACUUUGAGAUGAAUCUGCGUCUCAUUAGUUAGUUGGUAGGGUAACGGCCUACCAAGACGAUGAUGGGUAGCUGGUCUGAGAGGAUGAUCAGCCACACUGGACAUGAAACACGGUCCAGACUCCUACGGGGGGUAGCAGUGGGGAAUCUUGCGCAAUGGACGAAAGUCUGACGCAGCAACGCCGCGUGAGUGAGGAAGGCCUGCGGGUUGUAAAGCUCUGUCAAGUGGGAAGAACAAGCUGUGAAUUAAUACUUCACGGCCCUGACGGUACCACUGAAGGAAGCACCGGCUAACUCCGUGCCAGCAGCCGCAGUAA